ACAGCAGUCGCCGCGGGAAUACGGAGGGUGCAAGCGUUAAUCGGAAUUACUGGGCGUAAAGCGCACGCAGGCGGUCUGUCAAGUCGGAUGUGAAAUCCCCGGGCUCAACCUGGGAACUGCAUUUGAAACUGGCAGGCUAGAGUCUUGUAGAGGGGGGUAGAAUUCCAGGUGUAGCGGUGAAAUGCGUAGAGAUCUGGAGGAAUACCGGUGGCGAAGGCGGCCCCCUGGACAAAGACUGACGCUCAGGUGCGAAAGCGUGGGGAGCAAACAGGAUUAGAUACCCGAGUAGUCCCUGUCUCUUAUAC
rnacentral:rRNA from 1 species